AGCAGCCGCGGUAAUUCCAGCUCCAAUAGCGUAUAUUAAAGUUGUUGCAGUUAAAAAGCUCGUAGUUGAACUUCAGGCCUGGCUGGACGGUCCGCCCUCUGGGUGAGCACUGUCUGUGGUCGGGUCCUACCUUCUGGCGAAGCGGCAUGGCCUUAACCGGCCGUGGCGGGGAACCAGGACUUUUACUGUGAAAAAUUGAGUGUUCAAAGCAGGCACGCGCUUGAAUACAUUAGCAUGGAAUAAUGGAAUAGGACAAUGGUUCUAUUUGUUGGUUUCUAGGACCGUUGUAAUGAUUAAUAGGGAUAGUUGGGGGCAGUUAGUAUUCAAUUGUCAGAGGUGAAAUUCUUGGAUUUAUUGAAGACUAACUACUGCGAAAGCAUUUGCCAAGGAUGUUUUCAUUA
rnacentral:rRNA from 1 species